CUUAGGGGAUGUUAGCCUAUAAUCAUCGCAUCCAUGCGAUAACGCUAACUGACCUGCAUCCUGCAGG
rnacentral:sRNA from 1 species